rnacentral:rRNA from 1 species
AACGCGAAGAACCUUACCUGGGCUCGAAGCGCAGUGGAUAUGGGUGGAAACAUCCCUUUCUCGCAAGAGACUGCUGCGGAGGUGCUGCAUGGCUGUCGUCAGCUCGUGUCGUGAGAUGUUGGGUUAAGUCCCGCAACGAGCGCAACCCUUACUCGUAGUUGCUACCCGCAAGGGAGAACUCUACGAGGACUGCUCCGGAUAACGGAGAGGAAGGUGGGGAUGACGUCAAGUCAGCACGGCCUUUAUGUCCAGGGCUACACACGUGUUACAAUGCAUGGUACAGACUGUUGCGAACCCGCGAGGGGGAGCUAAUCGGACAAAACCAUGCUCAGUUCGGAUUGCAGUCUGCAACUCGGCUGCAUGAAGCUGGAAUCGCUAGUAAUGGCGUAUCAGAUCGACGCCGUGAAUACGUUCCCGGGCCUUGUACACACCGGAGUGC